UUUUAAGUGUAUUAAAUUUGACAUACUUAGAGUGACAAUUCAAUAUACUUAUGGGAAGUAUAUUUUUUGGAAAUUAAUUGUUAAUUUACUUUUUUAGCAUACUAGGAUCUCACUUCAUUAGAAGUGUGACUUCUGUACACUUUAUACAGUACACUAUAAAAUAAGUGUAUUUUUAGUUGCAUAUCAGAGUACUUUCAUAAAAUACGUUAGAAUAAUAAAAUGUAGGCUAUACACUGCAUGAAAAGAGCUGUAUCCAGACAAAUACGGAUGGGAAAUCCCUGCUAAACUUUAGGUUUGCCAGAUAAAUGAGGCAGAGUGCUUGGAAACGUAAUACUCAGAAGUAAACUCGUGAAACAUCCAGAAACCUUGUGUAUAUGGAUGUAUACUGGUGGAAGUUUCUAGGAAUCCUCACAGCUGGUUGUAAGGAGUGCUGGUUGUGAGGUGUGAAGGGUUAAUGACAGAGUUGCUGUCUCUGUUUUCAAAGCUGGGUGGGGGGUUCAAGGCAGCACAUAACAUAAAAACAUUAUAUAUCUACAAGUGUGUUUACUAAAUACAUGUAUUAUUAUGCUAAUGUAAUUUAAUUGAUAAAGGUUUUUUUAUUUAAGAAAAUCUGAGCAUCACUCAAAAUAACUGUCAACAUGUUUGUCAACUAAACAUGUUUUGUAAACGUUAUACAUUUUAUAAAAAUAUUUAAUAUUUUUAUUAUUGAUAAAGUAUAAAGAACAAAUCAGUGUGAAAACGCAGAUUAUAAAAAGUACAUAAAGUGCCAGCAGAGGAUCCAAAAUAAUGAAAAAAAAAAAAACAUCCAAUGCAACUUGGAAAUUGUAGUCAAAAUACAUCUACAGCAGCAUGCUAAAGCAGUACCAACGCCAGGGCAAAAGACUCAAAUUCCCAGAAUGCACCUGCACCCACCCAUUCAUUCCCACCAAUCAGGAUCAACGGCAUUUUUCAAACCGCUACUGACUCGUUUUCAUGCUAAACAGUACGGCUGAUAGGUCAUGUACCAUGUGGUCGACCUUGCUGACGCUGAAGAGGUUUCUGUGUAAAAAUGAUAUGCAGUGAGGGAGUGAUUCCCCAACAUCGAGGUGGCAGAGAUCCGGGACCUUCUACGGAGGAAGUGCAACAAUGCCAGUUACAAGGCCUCCAGUAGUUCAAAUCAGAGCUAGAUGUCCAUAUAGUACAAGUUGUUCGCAAUUGUUCUCUUCCCGGCAUUUCAAAGAAAGUCGACUGUUUAAGGUUCCCCAUUUUGCCAA